UACGUAGGGUGCGAGCGUUAAUCGGAAUUACUGGGCGUAAAGCGUGCGCAGGCGGUUUUGUAAGCCAGAUGUGAAAUCCCCGGGCUUAACCUGGGAAUGGCAUUUGGGACUGCAAGGCUUGAGUGCGGCAGAGGAGACUGGAAUUCCUGGUGUAGCAGUGAAAUGCGUAGAUAUCAGGAGGAGUACCGAUGGCGAAGGCAGGUCUCUGGGCUGACACUGACGCUCAUGCACGAAAGCGUGGGGAGCAAACAGG
rnacentral:rRNA from 1 species